rnacentral:lncRNA from 1 species
CCAAUUAUUAAGUGACUUUUUAAAUACUAUCUAAAUACAUUAUGAACACUACCUUAAAUAAAGCUAUAGGAAAACUCUAUAAAAAUAAAAGCUAAAAUAAUAGUCAAAGCCAUUUCCAGAAAUAGCCAUCAUAUUUCCUUCUCUCAAGCUCUAUAAAAUUACUAAAUAAACAAAUUAAAAAAAACUAUCAUCUUUGUAGUCAACCAAUUUUGCCCGGGCCCUUUUAAAGUAUUAAAAUAAGCCCAACAAAUAAGUCCAGGUAAAUUGAACACACACAAAUAAAGAAUCCAAAUUCAGAAAUCCAAUGUCCGGUUACAAAUAUUAGGGCCAAAAAUAACUUAAACCCAAAAUCCUUUAAUAUAGACUUAACCCAAUCCUUAGUUCGAACAGCCCAAACCCGAGGCCUAAUACACCCAAAACGAAACACAGCAGUCGAGAGCACCAGAAGCUUCUGGAAUACAAGAGAGUUGGGCUCCCAUGAGAGGCUCCUCGCAUGGCCUCCUUUGCGCGUCUCCUUUCUCCUCCGUACGGCCAUCCCUGCGUUAGAAUACACGAGAAGAGGCCAGCUAACAAAAUACAACAAAUGACAGCAAUAAAAAUGUAUUUUUAUUUAUUAUUUAUUUUACUCUGUAAAUUUGGCUAUAAAACCAAUGAUUGUACCUGCAAAAGGGAUUACGAAUAUACUACGCACACCAGAUAUAAAAAAUAGAGCAUUUCACAAGCAUUUUUUUAGGUGUGAUUUUCUGUUUAAUAGUUGCUUUUAAAUUUCGGCCAAAUGACUUCAUUUUUAUCUUUCAUUAUUGUAUUAAAAAAAUAAUAGAAAGAAAGAGAGAAGAAAUCUCACCUUAUGGAUCGGCCAUUGAUCCUCUCUUUGCUUCGUCAGACUUGAAGUGGAAAAAGAGGUCUUAAGGCCGAAAAUUAUCAUCAAAAGGCCACAUUUGUCGGUUGUUGUUUUUAAGGGAAGAUCGGCGUUGGUGUUAAAAGGGGAAUCAAACGGCGCCAUCCAUCAAUUGUAAUGUUAAAAGCGGCAGCCGAAUAUGAGCAAACACUUAGGGUUUUUUUCCCCCCUUUUCAAUCUGCUCUGCUGAAAUAAGCUCUUAGAAGCUGUUUUUUUUUUUUUGCUUUUAGUUGGCACCGUGAGACGACGACGUUUAAGGCAUGGAUUUGUAGCCUUGAAAUGACGCCGUUUAAGCUUGCCCCACCCGAUCCGAUUCCUUUACCCCUGGGAUCCGCGUAUUUUUGUGGAGAGGGAUAAUUGCGCAAUUGAUCCUUCUUGUUUCGCGCUACUAUUCAAUUACAAGCUAUUUGCUUAUUUCUUUUUUAAUUUGGCUUGGUAAUUUGAGUGCAUUUGCAAUUGGAUCCAUGCUUCAGCUGAAUGUUUUUGGAGAUCUGGAAUAUUUCCAGCUUUAACCCAUAUACGUUUGCACGCAUUGCAUGGGGGUCCUUAUUUUAAUAGUAGUAGUUUGUUUUAUUUAUAAAUUAUCCCUUUAUUUUAUAAUUUUAUUUCAAUUGGUUUUUUAUUAUUUUUUUAAAUUCGUUUCACAUUCAUUUUUCCUUUUAGGUUCUUUUUUUUUUUAUAUAUUUGGAGCUCCUUCGAUGAUUGUGUUUUGUUUUAAAGUCAGUACUGUAAAUUUAUUUUAUCAUAUCAUUUUUACACUGUGUAUAAUAUUUUAUAUGAAUGUUUUUAUGCAUUAUUAUAUAUAUAUAUAAUUAUUCCAUGUAUAUUAUUAAUCUUAUAUUAUUUUAUACACAUAAUUUAUUUUAAAUUUAUUCCUAUAUCUUAUUAUAUAUCUAUGUUGUUUAAAGGAAAAUCCUACAUAUUUUGUGUUUUUUUUCCUUAAUUACUAUUAUACGUAACCCAUAUUAAAUUAUUUUACUAUAGUCUACAUUAUUGAUUUCAUAUUAAUAUUUCUUGUAUGUAUAUAUUUUUUCUCUUUAAAAUUAUGCAUGCGUAUAAUGCGUUUCUUUUAAGAACUAUAAUUUUAAGUCAUACCAUUUAUUUAUUGUAUACACUCUCAUAUUUUAUUAUCCUUAUAUAUGUAUUAUUUAUAUGUGCCAUCAAUUCAAACCAAUUUGUUACAUGUGAAAUUAUGUUAUAUAUUAUUUGUUUUAAAAUUCCCUUUAUAAUAUAGUUUUAUAAAUAUACACCACUAAAUUUAUGUAUUUUUGUAAAUAUAAUUUUUUAUCUUUUUGUGUAUAUGAUUACAUUUUCUAAAAUUUGUUACAUGUAUAAUUUAUAUAUUUACUUAAUUUUUUUUCAUACAUUAUUAAUUUGAUGCUAUUUUUUUUACAAAUAAUUAUUUCUAAAUUUAUUUAUAUUCAUGUUCUAUGAAUUUAUUAUGUACAUUAUAUUUUAUCAUGUGUUUUAUUUUUAUUUUAUAUUUUAUAUGUUAUUUAAGCUAUCAUGCAUGUUGUCAAUUUUUCAAAUGGAUUUGUGCUUAAAAUAUUAUGCAUAUUAUUCAAUUCAAAGGCUUUAUUUUACAAUAUUUAUUUCAAAUGAUAAUAUAUCCCUAGUUUUUAUACAAAUUUGUCAACUUAUAUUAUGUGUCCAUUAAUUCAUCAUUAUUUUGAAAAUGUCCUAUACUAUAUUGACUUCUAAUUCCAUUUUAUUUUGUACAUAUUUUGUGGAUCGUUUUAUAUGGUGUCAUGUUAGUUAUUGUUGUAUGCUAUUUUUGUAUUGAUUGUUCACCAUCCAUGAUUAAGAAUUUGGUUACAUUUUACUUAGAAUAGUUGUACAUAAUUGUUGGAUUUAUUAAUUGUGACUUGUUGUAUCAUAUUAGUUCAUGUUCAUUAAUCCUUUCCUAGGCAAAUGUUUCGAUACAAUGCAUUAAGUAUUCCAUCUAUUUUAAAACAACUAAACGUGUUUUGAGCGAAUUUCCAAUUUUCUUUAUUAUUCAAAAAUUCUGAAAUAAGGCAAUAUCCAAUAUUUGGGAAUUCGGGAAAUCGUGCUCAAUCGUGCUGGGUAUGAUUUUUUUGGUGAACUAAAUAUUUGGAUAACCUUUAUAAUUUUAGUGUACGAGUUUUCAAAAGUCAAAAAUCAAUCGUAUUUUUAAAGGUAUAAAGGAUCGUAUCCAAUCGUGCUGGGUAUGAUGCUGCAUAUCUUUGAAACGAGAGAAUUUUGGUCGCUAAUUUGAACUAUUCAAACAUUUUAAAAAAGAAUCAUACUUUGAAAAAUCUUUUUUUAAAAAAAACCUUCUAGUAUAAGGAUAGCAUCAAGUCAAUUUGGUACCAAUUUUUGGGCGUAAUGAGGGUGCUAACCCUUCCUCAUGCGUAAUCGACUCCCGAACCUAUUUUUGAUUUUCUGUAAACCAAAAUUAUUGUAACAAAACGAUUUAGUAGGUGGCCCAAUCACACCUAAAUCAAAAGAUUGGUGGCGACUCCACAUUUUUGUUUUCAAAAGUCGAUCCCUAUUGUUUUCAAAUAAAAAAAGGGUUUCGACAGCUUGGCGACUCUGCUGGGGAUUGAACAAAGAGAGUCAGGCCAUAAAUUUGAUUGUUUGCUAUCCUUUUGUCAAAGAAUUGAAAAUUUGUGUUGAAAAUUAUGAUUCUUUUAAUUGCAUUUGUUGGCAUGAUUGUAGUGGUACGAGUUUGGUAGAAUAAUAUUGCAUUGCAUUGCUUGACCGCUGUGGUUAUACCUAUUAAGUGGGAGUAAGAAACUAUGCUUUCGUGAGGUUUUCACCUCCGUAUGGGCUAGUGGAUUACUUCCGGGAUACAUCCGUACCUAUGAUUCCGUGAUAUUUUCAUCUUCGCAUGGUCAUAGGGAAAUAUGUUCCCCUGAACCGAACUCGAUUCAUAUGAGCCUAUAAUGGGUGAGGAUUAAGGAAUCUGCUGGUUCGGGUACCUUUACUCUAGGACUGAGCUACAUAUAGUGAACCUUAAGAGCUAUCCUUAGGUAGAGCCGCGUCAAGCCUUAGUCAUUGCCUAUAUGUGUGUUAUGAUUAUCUUUGUUGUUAUACUUCUAUUUUAUCACUUAUAUUUGAUACUAACUUGUGUUUUGUUUUGAUUGUGUUUUACAUGACAUUGCAUACUAAAGGAGGUGUUGGUUCGUAUUCGAUUACUAAGUUAGAAAGUUUAACAUGGAGAAUGAAUUUCUUAAUAAAGUUGAGGAUAAUGCGGCCGUUCACGUAAGGUCAGAGAAUGUAAAACUUUACUCGCAUCCAUGUAACACAGAAUGAGCUGCAGGAGUUGAAAGACAUAUGGUCUCAUUAGGAUGAGGGCACUAAACAAUUGUUCUACCAGAGUUAUGGUGAUAUACCGUACUUGCUCGAUGUUAAGGUAGAUAAGCGUUUGUUCCGAGGUAUGGCUCAAUUUUGGAAUUCUGCUUAUAAUUGUUUCAUUUUUGGGGAAGUAGAUUUGGUUCAUACCUUGGAAGAAUAUACUACUUUGUUGAGAAGUCCAAAAGCUUAAGUCAGAAAAAUUUAUGCUAAGGUUUCUAAUGGUCAAACUUUUGCAAAAAGGUUGGUGAAUAUUUCGGGGAUGAGUGAAUCUUGGGUCACUGCUCGAAUUCAACAGAAGGGGGAUAGUAAGUGUAUUCCCUAGGAAAAUUUGAGAGAUUUGGUUUUGACGCAUCCGGAUGAAAAGAAAAGGGUUGAUAUGUUUGCCUUAAGCAUCUAUAGACUGGUGAUUUUUCCGAAGGCUUUAAGGCAUGUUGAUGAGGCAGUCACUGAUUUGUUUAAUUGUCUCGAAAAGGGAGUCACACCUGUACUUGCAAUACUAGCCGAGACGUUUAGAUCUUUGAGCAUGUGUCGAAGGACAGGGGAAGGUCGAUUUAUUGGAUGUGCACAGUUGUUGAUGAUAUAGUUUCACGGGCAUUUUUGGAAAGUGAAUAGGGUUUCGUACCGUGUCUUCUCCGAAGGUUACUCCCUAUUAAAAGAAGAGAUGGCCAUGCAAAGGAGAGAUGAUAAUUCAGAAGAGAAAUGGAUGGAAAUUCUCCAAAAUCUCUAGGAGGAUGAUGUAGAGUGGAGAGCUUUCUAGAUGGUUCUUGAUGAAAUCUUGUAUUGAUAUGGUAGCUAUAAUUGGGUGCCAUUGUUAGAAAUUUGGGGAGCUACUGGAUAUACUCUUUUACUUGCAUUAAGGCAAUAUAAAUCGAGGUGGUUCAUACUUACGACAUACGGGCUGGCUCAGUGUGAAUUUCCAUAUAAAAGAGAUCACUAUAGGAAGAAAGUUCGGGAGUUAUCUGAUGCCUGGAGGCAAACACACUGGAUGAAGAGGCUGACUGUUGGUUCCAUGGUAACACACGAAUACAAUAGAUGGUUUAGGAAAAGGGUCAAUGAUAAUAUUCCUAGACCAAGUUUGGAAAGCACCCGACCAAUGGAGGAACAGUUACAAAUUGCCCCGUCAGAGUUGGAAAUUAUAAAGCAAGAUUUUGAGAAGAAGAGUUCUGAGUUUGGGAAGAAGAUCGAGUAGUUGGAAGAGGAAAAGAUGCACUUGAAGUUAGAUGUGGAGAUUCAGAAGUUAGAGGCAGAAAUGCUACAGAAAAGGAAGAGUGAAGUUGAGGAAGAUUUGGAAAGCUUGAAAACAGAUUAUAAGAAGCUGCGCUUAUCAAUGAGGACUGCUGGAUUAGGAAAGACUUCAGAACAAUGGCACUAAGAGGUUCGAGAAGAAAGGGCUAAGGCAGAUCAAUGGGAAAAGAGGCUCCAAGAGGCUCAAGCUCGGAAUGAAGCCUUGAAAAGAAGUUUGUCGGAGAGUAAGAAUGAAAAAGAUGAAUUAAGAGCUAGAGUAGCGGAACUUGAGAGAUCUCUGUGUUUAUACCGGAAUCGUAAUUCUGUGAUAGGUUUAAAGCAAGCUUAGGUAAGAUCGAGGAGAUGAAAGGGAAAAUAGAAGAACUAGAAAUGGCAUUGCAAAGUUGUGAAAUGAGGAUUGAGUUUUUGGAGGCAAAUGAGGAACAAUGGAAGGGCCAGCUUCAUCACUCCCAAGACCAGGUUAGAAGCAGAGAUUACAUCAUGGGCGAGGCUGUAAUGCAAAUUCGAGAAGUAGCUGAUUAUUUGCAAUCUUUAGCGGUACAAGUAGACGUAUUAAGCGUGAAGUACGAGUUGGAGUCAGAUAGGGGACAAGAACUAGCUUCAUUACUUAGGAAAAUUAAAGCCCUGAGUGUUAGGGCGAAGUCGUAUUUGUAACUCAGUUUUAUGUAAAGAAUUUUAUUUUCUAGUAAAGUUUUAUAAAAGGAAUUGAAUCAGAAUUGAUGCCUCCUUUGCAUUCAUGCAUUUGCAUUACAUUACAUUAUAUGCAUUAAAGCUCAUAAUAAGAUUCUAAUUAAUUAAAAAUUAUUUCAGUAAUCUGGAAACCAACAAAAACAUACCAAAUAAGUAUCCCUACGGUACGAGGAAAAAGACUAAGUUAAUGGACAAAAGACUGGAAAAGUUAGAACAAAUGCAAAAGGAUAUGGAAGAGCAAAUGCAGUCACAGAUGCAAGAGCAGUUGGUUAACAUUCAGCAAGAGAUGAAAGAACAGAUGAUAAAGUCCCAAAGAGAGAUGAUGAGUCAGUUGUCCCAAUUGCUGAUGAGAAGAGUGGAUAAGGGAAAAGGUCCUAUGGAUAAUAUGGGAGAAAAUAAUGAAGACCCUCAAUAUCCUCCCGGCUUCACUCCUAUACAUGUGCAGACACAACCUGAGAUUAAUUUGCAGAAGUCAUCUAUUACGAUCAGGCCUCAGUAGUUUCAGGCUGGGGUUUCAGUACCAAUGAAUUUUCAAGCUGGUUCAGGUUAUAAUCCUGAUAACAACUCUAAAAAUCCAAUUGUUCCUGAUUUGGAUGAGGUUGCGAAAGAGGAAAGGGCAAAGGCGGAGUCAUAAAAGCAAUUAGAAGAACGGUGUAAAUGGCUGGAGGAAAAGGUCAGAGCAAUGAAGAGUAUUGAUAGACACCCGAGAAUUGAUGCAAAAUAUCUAAGUUUGGUCCCGGACUUAGUACUGCCAUACAAGUUCAGGAUGCCAGAAAUUGAGAAAUACAAUGGAACGAGCUGUCCUGAAGCUCAUGUCACUAUGUUUUGCAGAAUAAUGACGGGAUAUGUUCAUAACGAUCAAUUGUUGAUUCAUUGCUUCCAAGAUAGUUUGGUAGGAGUGGCUGCUAAAUGGUACAAUCAAUUGAGUCGAAAUAGGAUUAGUUCAUGAAGAGAUUUAGCACAGGCGUUUAUGAAGGAAUAUAGCCAUGUGACAGAUAUAACUCCUGAUAGGAUUACUCUGCAAAAUAUGGAGAAGAAACCAAAUGAAAGUUUCAAGCAGUAUGCACAGAGGUGGAGGGAAAUGGCCAUUCAGGUUCAACCACCGCUCUUGGAGAAAGAAACUACGAUGCUCUUCAUUAACACCUUAAAGGCUUCGUUAUAACUCAUAUGCUAGGAAGUUCCACGAAGAGCUUUACGGACGUGGUCAUGACAGGAGAAAUGAUUGAGAAUGCCACAAGAAAUGGAAGGAUAGACGCAGGAGAAAGUGCUAAAAGGUCUGUGUCACAGAAAAAAGAGAAUGAGGUGAACAAUACGAACAUGGGAUAUUCAAAGUCUGUUACUGUAAGUAAACCAAAAGCGGUAACUACCGGUCAGGGAUCAUCAAGGCAAGAGUCAGGAACCAGGCAGAAUAAUGAGAAGAUUCAAUUUACACCAAUUCCCAUGACAUUCAAAGAGUUAUAUCAAAGUUUGUUCGAUGCACAUGUGGUGGCACCUUUUUACUUAAAGCCAUUGCAGCCUCCGUUCCCUAAAUGGUACGAUGCUAAUGUUCCAUGUGAGUAUCACGCAGGAAUUGUGGGUCAUUAGAUAGAAAAUUACACCACUUUUAAGAAGCUAGUUAAGAGAUUUAUCUAGAUGGGCAUUUUAAAAUUCGAUAAUGCACCCAGUACUGAAAAUCCGCUACCUAAUCAUACUGAUAGCUGGGUAAAUACAAUAGAUGGAGGUAUUGGAAAAAGGACCAAGAAGGAUGUUUCAGAAGUAAAGACUCCUUUGAAACCAGUUUGGAAAGAGAUGACAAGAAGGGGAUUAGUUACUUCAAACACGGAAGGAAAUAAUAAUGGGAUAGAGAAUUAUUGUGAGUUCCAUCAUAAAGAGGGACACAUAAUUUAGGAUUGUGAAGGAUUCAGAGUUGUUAUUCAGAGCCUGAAGGACAGUAAAGAAAUAGAAUUUUAUGAAGAGGUUUCAGAAGAAGAGUAUAUAUGCGCAUCAGAAUCCGUAUCAAGUGUCCCGAAAGUAAACUAUCCUGUGGUUAUUAUUUCGUGUCCUAAGAAUGAAGUAGGAGUUCAAGUGACGCCAAAGAUCAUAAUUUAGAAGUCGGCAGUUUUUUCUUACAAGGAUAGUAAAAGGGUCCCCUGGAACUACGAUUGUAAAGUGAUGAUCCCAGGAAAGGAGAGUACAAUCAACUCGUUAAAGGCGGACCAAGAUACAGUGUCUCACACAUGUAAUGGAAGACGAUAUGAUACCCGAAUAGAGCCUAUGAAAGGAAGAGAUGUGCUGGUCGAGCAAGAGAAGGGAAAAAUAGUUGAAUUUGAUAUACCUGUUAAUGAACCAGUGAAAGAAGAAGAAGUUAAGUAAUUCCUGAAAUUUCUGAAACAUAGUGAGUAUAGUGUGGUGGAACAAUUGCAUAAACAGCCAGCCCGUAUAUCUAUAUUGGCUUUACUCUUGAGUUCAGAGGUGCAUCGGAGUGCAUUGAUGAAGGUGCUAAACGAGACAUAUGUAACCAAUGAUAUUUCCUUCAAUAAGUUGGAUUGAUUGGUUAACAACAUAAGUGCAGACAAUUUCAUCUAUUUCAAUGAUGAUAAGAUACCCCUAGGAGGAAUGGGAUCUACCAAAGCUUUGCACAUAACUACUAGAUGUAAGGGAUACACAAGGAAAUUUGAUUGGAGAAGGAAAAAGACUUUUCUGAUGAAAUGAUAGAAAAAAUAAAUAAAAAUCACAUUUCUAAAGAAGAAAUAUAUAAAAUAUCUAAGUUUAAAAUAUGGAGUCAAAGACAUAUAGAAAAGAUUAAUGGUAACACAGUCGCUAAGGAUACUAGAGGAGGAUUAAUAGAAAUUCCAUUAUUUACUAAAGAAAAAAUUAAGAGGAUUAAAAAGAAAUACCCUCAAGUUAGAUAGAUACAUUUAGGUAUAAUUAUGAUAACAAUUAGAGAUUUAUUUAGAAAAGGACAUGAUCUACCUAUCAUAGCAGUUUUAUUAGAUAAAAGAUUUGAAAACCCGAUCAAAGCACUUAUUGGAGGAAUACAGUCUAAUUUACAUACUGGUGUAAUAGGAUUUAAGGUUAAACCAAACUAUUUUAUAUCUAUUACAGACCCUCUAAUAGAAGAGUGUUUAUGUUUAAGAAUUCAGACAAAAAAUUCUGAAAUAAGUGAUUUAGCAGAAGAUCUAGCAAUAAGUUAGACUUCUAUUAAUGAAUAUACCAACACGACAGAAGUAGAAAUUAAAGAAAUCAAUAAUAAAAUAAUUGAGUUAUUUGAACCCAAUAAAUUUACUACAGAGAUACAACCAAAAUUACUACAUCUAAAAGAUCUGUCAAUACCAAAAGAUUGGAUGAUUGAUAGAAUAAGUGGUACUAGUACUUCAAAACCUGUAAGUACUAUAGAAUAUAUGUCAUCUGGAGAUAGACUAUAUUUUAAAAAUAAUGCUAUAACAAAUACAAAUGAUAAUUUAGUUUUACCUUCUAAUUCUCAAAUAGAGGAAGAAGAAGAUAAUAUUAGUACAAAUUCGACAACACCAAUAGGUAUGAAAACAGUUCAAAUACCUAUUUUCCCUACUGAACCUAGUAGAAAUUUUAGAAAUACUAGAAUGGAAGAAAUACAAUCUACUACUAUUAUUCAACAAAUGAAAAUAGGAAAAAAUGAUAUUAUUACAUUUUCAAAUUUCCAACCUAGGAAAUAUUAUACAUAUAUAGAAAUUACACUUCAAUUUAGAGACGAUAAAACAUAUUUUUUGCAUGCUUUAUUAGAGUUAGCAUUAUUUGCCAAAAUCCUGAUUUAUAAUCGAAUUUAUUGAAGUAUUUUGCAUGUUUAGCUUGAUUAAUCAAAACAUCUUUUCGUGGAAUAAAAUAUCCAUCAAAAAUAGUGUUUUGGUUUAGUCUUUUAUAAUUAAUUACCAUCUUAGCUUUUUCUCUUUUUAUUUCAGCAUGGUUUCUUACCAUAAAGGCUGGACUUGAGUGUGGACUAUUAGUUUUUUCUAUUAAUCCUUUUUCCAAUAAUUCUUUGAUUUGUAUAUCAAAUUCAUCUAUAUCUUGUUUAGUAUAGAUCAUAGGUUUGAUUCUAAUUAUUUAUUAGGAUUCUUUAAUUUUAUUUCAUAAUAUCUUGGACUAUUUUCCCAUAAUUUUAAUGGUUCUUCACUAAAAUUAUUUUCUAGAAUUUUAAACAACCAAUGAUUUGUUUCUAGUUGUUUAAUUUGUUCUUUUCUUAUUGGUCUAAAUCCUUUAUCACAUACAAAUUUAUGGUUUUCUAUUAAAGUUAUUUCUACAGAAGUUUUUUCUAUUGAUAAUAUUACUAAAUUUCUAUCUAUAGAAAACGGUAGAUAAUGAUAUAUAAAAUUAUUUCCUAAUAAUAUGUCUCCAUGCAUUUCAGGAAAACACAAUAUUUUAGGAAUUACAAAUCUUACAUUAUUUAUGUAAAUUGGUAUAUUUCUAGCUUUAAAUUGAAUUAUGGUUUCUUUACCAUCAAUUCCUAUAGCUCUGAUUGGGUUUUUCAUUAAUUCCCAUUUUUCUACAGGAAUGGCAUUUUCUCUACAACUACUUGUGGUAGCUCCAGUAUCUAAUAAAGUAUGCAAAGAAUAUGUUUUAUAGUCUCUAAAUUGAAGUGUAAUUUCUAUAUAUGUAUAAUAUUUCCUAGGUUGGAAAUUUGAAAAUGUAAUAAUAUCAUUUUUUUCCUAUUUUCAUUUGUUGAAUAAUAGUAGUAGAUUGUAUUUCUUCCAUUCUAGUAUUUCUAGAAUUUCUACUAGGUUCAGUAGGGAAAAUAGGUAUUUGAACUGUUUUCAUACCUAUUGGUGUUGUCGAAAUUGUACUAAUAUUAUCUUCUUCUUCCUCUAUUUGAGAAUUAGAAGGUAAAACUAAAUUAUUAUUUGUAUUUGUUAUAGCAUUAUUUUUAAAAUAUAGUCUAUCUCCAGAUGACAUAUAUUCUAUAGUACUUACAGGUUUUGAAGGUGCACCUAAUGGUCAUUAUCAAUGGAGAGUAAUGCCAUUUGGGUUAUGUAAUGCACCUCAAAUCUUCCAAAGAUGGAUGGAUUCUAUAUUUAAUAAAUAUAAAAAAUUUUGUGUAGUCUAUAUAGACGAUAUAUUAAUAUUUUCAGAAACACUGGAAAAACAUAAAAAACAUUUAAAUAUUAUCUCUCAAGAAUUCAUAAAACAUGGAAUUAUUUUAAGCCCUAAGAAAAUAGAAUUAGAAAAAACAGAAAUAGAAUUUUUAGGUUUAAAUCUAUCUGCUGAUGGUCUUAAACUACAAGAUCAUAUUAUAGUAAAAAUAAAAUAAUUUCCAGAAGAAAUUAAAAACCAAAAACAACUUCAACAAUUUUUAGGAAUAGUUAAUUAUGGAAGAAACUUCUUUCCUAACUUAUCUCAAAAAAUAGGUGAUUUAUAUGAAAAACUAAAAAAGGAUAAAACUUUUAGUUGGUCUAAAGAAGACUCAGAAAUUAUUAAAAAUAUAAAAUCAGAAAUAAAUUAUACCCCAAAAGUCUAUUUACCAAAACAAGGUGAUAGAUUAAUUUUAGAAACCGAUGCAUCAGAAAAAUAUUGGGGAUGUAUUUUAAAAGCUAAAACAGCAAAAAACGAAGAACUAAUAUGUGGAUAUAGUUCUUGAAAAUUUAAAUCAAAUGAAGUUAAUUAUGCUAUAUAUGAAAAAGAAUUAUUAGCUAUUAAAAAGGCAAUAAAAACCUUUCUCAUAUAUUUAGCAUCUGAAAAUUUUAUUAUAAAAACUGACAACCAGGCAGUCAAACAAUUUCUGACUAAUAAUAGUCUAGAAAGUGUACCAAGAAGAAUUAGAUGGUACAAUGAUUUAUGUAGUUUCAAUUUUGAAGUUUUAUAUGUCAAAGGUAUUAAUAAUAUUAUUGCUGAUUAUCUUAGCAGGCCUUAUGGAAAGAGGUAAAAAACCUCUAGAACAAGUCGGGGAAUGGACUACUGUCCAUAAAAAACCCAACAAAGGAAAGCAGAUAAAUCCUAAUCAAGGAUUUACUCCCAAUCAAGGAUUGGCCCCCAAUCAGGGAUUUACUCCUAUAUUAACAGGAUUCUAUCCUAAUCAAGGAUAUUAUGUUCCUUAUCCAAUGGUAAGACAACCAACUGGAUCUCCUUCAUCAUAUGCAUCAAGAAUGGUAAACGAAUACCCUUCAAAAAGAAUAAUUCAAUCUCCUUGGUCUCAAGAUCCGAAUUCAGCAUAUCAAGCCAGUUAUUCUGAAGUUAUAAAAGGAGCAGAAAAUUUGUUGAAACAACAACAAAUUCCAUAAAUAAAAGAUUUUUAUAAUCCAGGAUUACCAAGUGAAAUUUAUAAAUAUAUUAAUGAAAUAUGGAAAACCCAUAUUUUAGAACAAAGAGUAAAUUUUAGACGAGCUCUUACAAAGUUUUCACAAUUUCUAGUUGAAAAAACAACCAAAGAAAAUGAAGCACAUGAAUUAUUAUUAAAAGUAGUUUUAUACAGAGAUUGGCAAGAACUCGAAAUAGAAUAUACAAAUAUCAAUGAGAUAAAUAAUCUUAUUGAUAUAUUUCAAUACUUUAUUCAUAAAGGAACAAAUAGUCCCAUUAUGAAUAAAAUGUUUAGAAUAUGUUUAUAUAAUAAAGCUAGGAAAAUACUACCAGCAGAAAUUUUUGAAAAAAUCAAUAAAAUUAUCUGCAACCAGCAGAUUCAAUAUAAAAAAGUCUUUUCUGAAUACUUUUUACAAUCAUAUGUUUAUCUAAAUGAUAUAGGGGAAGAAAUUCCUACUAUAAAAUUCAGAUUAGAUCAUGAACCAUUUGAUAUAAACAGUAUUGAAUGGGGUUUCGUUAGACAAAUUGUAGUACAAAACUUUUCUUUUCACUUAUUAAAAGAUUUUCCUGCUAUUAUAAAAGCUAUAUUGUCACUUUUAGUAUAUCAAGAUGAUUUUUAUUACUAUUUUUAUAUCCAAAUAAGUAGUCUUAUUGGAAUUGCUGAAAAAGAGCGAUUCUAUCAACCAUAUCAAAUAUGGAUUAUUCAACGAAUGUUUGAUAGUCAUUAUUUAUCAGCAGCCAAAGAAGAUAAAAAACACUUGACCAAAACCAUUGACAAGUGUUACAAUAAUCCAAAAUAUUUUCAAAUCCAAGCCGGAAUUGAUUUAAUGUCAACAGCUCGACAUGUACUUCAAGAUCAAACAUACAAACUAUCUACCGAUGGAAGAAGAAUAGUAGCUGAUAAAAACAGCAUGAUUCAAAAAUCAAGAGAUGAAGAAUCCAUACAACUGCUAAAGAAAAUAGCAGAUAUGGAAAUAGACGAUUUCCCUUCAGAAAUAAUUGAAGAAAUCAAGAACACAUGGGAAACUUGGAAUUCAUAUAUCAAAUUAUAUAUUUAAUAGAAAAAAUUUAAAUAUUACCUCUCAAGAAUUCAUAAAACAUGGAAUUAUUUUAAGCCCUAAGAAAAUAGAAUUAGAAAAAACAAAAAUAGAAUUUUUAGGUUUAAAUCUAUCUACUGAUGGUCUUAAACUACAAGAUCAUAUUAUAGUAAAAAUAAAAGAAUUUCCAGAAAAAUUAAAAACCAAAAACAACUUCAACAAUUUUUAGGAAUAGUUAAUUAUGUGUUUAGAAGGGGUUCUAGUAGAUAAUGAUUCGGCAUUGAAUGUGUUACAUUUGUCCACACUAAACAAGUUACCUGUGGGUAGCUCUCACAUGAAAGGAUGUCAGAACAUAGUAUGAGCAUUUGAUGGUACAGAGAGGAGAGUCAUGGGAAGAAUAGAAGUGCCCUUGUUAAUUGGCCCAACCACGUAUGAGGUAGAUUUCUUAGUAAUGAAUAUCAACCCUUCUUACAAUUGUUUGUUGGGAAGACCUUGGAUACAUUCUACAGGAUGGCUAGGUGGCAAAUUUUGCUUUCUGAAUUUGACAUAAUUUACGUGAGUCAGAAGGCUGUGAAAGGAAGCGCAAUAGCAGAUUUUCUGGCCAGCCGAGCUUUAGAAGAUUACGAACCCUUGAAUUUUGACUUCCCCAAUGAGGAGAUAGUAUAUGUGGCAGCUGCUGAAGAGGAUACUAUAAAAGGUCACUUUUGGAAAUUGAAUUUUGAUGGAGCCUCAAAUGCUGUGGGUAAUGGAGUUGGGGCAGUUCUAGUAUCCCCAAGUGGAGAUCAUUAUCCAUUCACAUGUAAACUGGAUUUUGAUUGUACGAAUAAUAUGGCAGAAUAUGAAGCAUGUAUCAUGGGGCUCAGGGCAGCUAUAGAGCACAAGAUCAAGGCAUUGGAAGUAUAUGGAGAUUCUGCGCUAGUAGUUUAACAGCUUCGAGGUGAAUAGGAGACAAGAGACGCUAAACUAAUCAAUUAUAGAAGGCUGGUGUUGGGGUUAGUUGAAGAGUUUGAUGAUAUUACUUUCAAUUAUCUUCCUCGUGAUGAAAACCAGAUGGCAGAUGCUUUGGCUACUUUGGCUUCCAUGAUCAAAGUAAGCAGACAAGAAGAUGUGAAGCCCAUUCAGAUGACUAUUUGUGAGGCCCUGUCCUAUUGUUAUAAUAUAGAGGAAGAAGAAAGAGAUGAUCAUCGUUGGUAUCAGGAUAUAUUGCGAUAUGUGAGAAAUUGUGAAUAUCCAGAUCAAGCCACGGAGAAUGACAAAAGAACGUUGAGAAGGCUCGCUUGUGAUUAUGUUUUAGAUGGAGAGAUCCUGUACAAAAGAAGGAAGGAUCAGGUACUGUUGAGAUGUGUGGAUGCCGUGGAGUCCAAGAAAAUCAUGGAAGAGGUGCACGAAGGUGUUUGUGGAACACACGCUAAUGGGUUUAUAAUGGCCAGACAAAUUAUGAGGUUUGGAUAUUAUUGGUCAACCAUGGAAGUAGACUGCAUCAAUUAUGCCAAGAAAUAUUACAAAUGUCAAAUUUAUGGUGAUACGAUUCACGUGCCUCCCUCGCCUUUGCAUGUUAUGACUUCCCCAUGGCCAAUUUCCAUGUGGGGCAUGGAUGUCAUAGGGCCAAUUUCACCGAAGGAUUCAAAUGGGCAUCAUUUCAUUUUUGUGGUUAUUGAUUUUUUACCAAGUGGGUGGAUGCUGCUUCGUACGCUAAUGUAACUCAAUCGGCAGUCAGCAGAUUCUUAAAGAAGGAAAUUAUAUGUCGGUAUAGAAUGCCUGAGAGGAUCAUAUCUGAUAAUGUGCUAAAUUUGAACAAUAAUACAAUAGCAGAGGUCUGCAGUCAGUUUAAGAUCAGACAUCAUAACUCAUCACCAUCUCACCCGAAGAUGAAUGAGGCAGUGGAAGCAACCAAUAAAAAUAUUAAGAAGAUUGUGGGGAAAAUGACCGAAACUUACAAAGAUUGGCAUGAAAAGUUUCCAUUUGCGCUCUAUGCUUAUCGAACAUCUGUCAAAACUUCUACUGGGGCAACACCUUUUUCAUUGGUAUAUGGAAUGGAAGCAGUUCUACCCAUUGAAGUGGAGAUACCUUCUCUUCGAGUUUUGUCAGAAUUGAAGUUAGAUGAAGCAGAAUGGAUACAAUCUCGAUAUGAUCAGUUGAAUCUGAUUGAGGAAAAGAGGCUAAAGGCUAUUCAGCAUGGACAGAUGUAUCAAAAAAGAAUGAUGCGGGCUUAUGAAAAAAAGGUUCGCCCAAGAGAGUUUCAUGAGGGAGAUUUGGUUUUGAAGAAGAUUCUUUCCAUACAAAAAGAUUUCAGAGGAAAAUGGAUGCCAAAUUGGGAGGGGCCUUAUGUGGUAAAGAAGGCUUUUUCCGAUAGUGCAUUAAUCCUGGCCGAAAUGGAUGGAAGAAAUUUGUCUAAUCCGGUAAACUCAGAUUCAGUCAAAAAGUACUACACUUAACAAGGGAAGGAAGCCAAGGUGAAAACCCGCAAAGGGCGCUUCGAGGCUUUCAAAAAAAAACAAAAAAAGGGGGCCAAAGUGAAAACCCGCAAAGGACGGUUUAGGACCAAAUAAAAAGGGCAAAGGUGAAAACCCACAAAGGGCACUUUGAGACUCAAUAAUAAUAAAAGAAAAAAAGAAAAAGAGAAAAAGGAGAGGCCAAGGUGAAAACCCGCAAAGGGCGCCUUGUGACCAAAGGGGAUUUGAGUUGAAAACCCGAAAAGGGUGGCUCAAAUAAGGAUCCAAAGUGAGAAGGCAGUGGUCUCGCUAUACUUGAAUUAACCAUGAAGGGGGUAUGUGGCAUCUUGGGGCGUUAACAAAGUACUUCUGAUAUCUUAAACACAUAUCGAGUUUGAAUUGGUGUUCAAGAGGUUCGUACAGUGAAGCUCAGGUUGCGAUAACAAGGGUACCUAGUCUUCGUUUUCAGUAAAUUGGUUAUCUUUGAAUUAUCCCUUAUUUUUCAAGAUACACAUUCCCAAAUUAAUGGCCAUUGUUGUUCUUUUGAUAAUUUACUUUGAAUUUAAGAUUAGUUCCAUUCGUGUUCAUUAUUACGAUUUGAUUGCAAGUAUGUUGCAUUGACAUAAUGAUGAAUGAACUAGUAAUGUUUUCACAAUAAAAGUUUUGCAUAUUACUCUAGGAGUUUCUAGAUAAUGCAAGAAUCUGAAGUGGAAUUAUUGUUUAGAAUGAGCUCAAGUUCAAGGAUAUAUUUGGAUAAAUCACCUUGGUGAGAUCUCUGUCCAAAUGAUGAUAGAGCAAAUAGGCAAGAUAUAGUAUUGAUGAUACAAUGUUAUUCUCGAGAAAAGGGAAAUGACGUUUUGUAUUCAUACAAAGAUCAAAAAUGCACAUUUGGCUAUAACACCUGAUGAGUGAGGUAGCAAAUUGACCAUAGGAAAAUUCAACUAUGAGUUGCAAUAUUUUUGUCCCAAAAGAAUAGUGGAAGGUACGUUGGAAUUAUAGUGGGGCAAGCUGGCCGAGCAGGAUAUGAUUGUUUCUUUGGAAUACUCUAUCAAGAUGACGGUUGAGCAAAUGCAUCAGUAACAGUGUUAAUAAGCAAACGAGUGGUGAUACCCUAAAUUGUUAAAUGGAAUUAUUCUCAUUUCUGCAUAUAUUAUUCGUAGCACAUUUAGUUAGGAGCAUUAGAUUCAUCUCAAGCUAGCAUCCUAAUUAUUUGGCAUAAACAUACGCAUACUAAAAUAGAGUAUACAUGAUUGAAGAUCUUAUCUCCCUGAAGUUGCAGUGGAGCAGAUCGAAAAAGGUGAAUCUUAUCUCCACGUAUCAGCAAUGGAGUAGAUUUUACUACCAGCCUCAUCUCUCUGAGGUAGCAAGAGAGUAGGUUGAAGAAUGAAUCUUAUCUUCCUGAGGUAGCAGGGAAGCAGACUGAAGAUUGAAGAUCUUAUCUCCCUAAGCAGUAGCAAAGUAGAUCGAAAGAGGCGAAUCUUAUCUCCAUGUAUCGGUAAUGGAGCAAAUUUAAGCCCCAAGCCUUAUCUCUUUGAAGUAGCAAGAGAGCAGGUUGAAGAAUGAGUCUUAUCUUUUUGAGGUAGCAAGGAAGCAGACUAAGAAUUGAAGAUUUUAUCUCCCAGAGACUGCAGUGGAGUAGAUCUUCGCAGACGGUGAAUCUUAUCUCCAUGUAUCGGCAAUAGAGCAGAUUUUACCACCAGCCUCAUCUCUCUGAGGUAGCAAGAGAGCAGGUUGAAGAAUGAGUCUUAUCUUCUUGAGAUAGCAAGGAAGCAAACUGUGGAUUGAGGAUCUUAUCUCCCUGAAGUUGCAGUGGAACAGAUCGAAAAUAGUGAAUCUUAUCUCUAUGUAUCGGCAAUGGAGCAGAUUUAACCCACCAACCUCAUCUUCCUAAAGGUGUUUGGAAAAGAGGAAUGCCAAAAAGCCAAAAUUUAGCAAGACCGGGCAAAAUAAGCCAAACAAUUUUUCUAAAGGUCCUUGCUCUAUUCCUGUUACACGUCAAUGAGAAAAGAGGGGCAGCUGUAGUCAACCAAUUUUUCCUGGGCCGUUUUAAAGUAUUAAAAUAAGCCAAACAAAUAAGUCCAGGUAAAUUGAACACACACAAAUAAAGAAUCCAAAUUCAGAAGUCCAAUGUCUGGUUACAAAUAUUUGGGCCAAAAAUAACUUAAACCCAAGAUCCUUUAAUAUAGACUUAACCCAAUCCUUAGUUCAAACAGCCCAAACCCGAGGCCCAAUACACCCAAAAGGAAACACAGCAAUCGAGAGCACCAAAAGCUUCUGGAAUGCCAGAGAGUUGGGCUCCCAUGAGAGGCUCCUCGCAUGGCCUCCUUCGCGCGUCUCCUUGCUCCUCCGUACGGCCAUCCCUGCGUUAGAAUACACGAUAAGAGGCCAGCUAACAAAAUACAACAAAUGACAGCAAUAAAAAUGUAUUUUUAUUUUUUAUUUAUUUUACUCUGUAAAUUUGGCUAUAAAAGCCAAUGAUUGUACCUGUAAAAGGGAUUACGAAUAUAUUGCGCACACCAGAUAUCAAAAAUAAAGCAUUUCACAAGCAUUUUUUAAAGGUGAUUUUCUGUUUAAUAAUUGCUUUUAAAUUUCGGCUGAAUGACUUCAUUUUUAUCUUUCAUUAUUAUAUUAAAAAAUAAUAGAAAGAAAGAGAAAAGAAAUCUCACCUUAUGGAUCGGCCAUUGAUCUCUCUUUGCUUCGUCAGACUUGAAAUGGAAAAAGAGGUCUUAAGGCCGAAAAUUAUCAUCAAAAGGCCACAUUUGUCGGUUGUUGUUUUUAAGGGAAGAUCAGCGUUGGUGUUAAAAGGGGAAUCAAACGGCGCCAUCCAUCAAUUGUAAUGUUGAAAGCGGCGGCCGAAUGUGAACAAACCCUUAGGGUUUUUUUUCCCCCCCUUUUCAAUCUACUCUGCCGAAAUAAGCUCUUAGAAGCUGUUUUUUUUGCUUUUAAUUGGCCCCAUGAGACGACGAUGUUUAAGGCAUGGAUUUGUAGCCUUGAAACGACGCCGUUUAAGCUUGCCCGACCCGAUCCCAUUCCUUUACCCCUGGGAUCCGCGUAUUUUCGUAGAGAGGGAUAAUUGCACAAUUGAUCCUUCUUCUUUCGCGCUAUUAUUCAAUUACAAGCUAUUUGCUUAUUUCUUUUUUAAUUUGGCUUGGUAAUUUGAGUGCAUUUGCAAUUGGAUCCAUGCUUCAGCUGAAUGUUUUUGGAGAUCUGAAAUAUUUCCAGCUUUAACCUAUAUACAUUUGCACGCAUUGCAUGGGUGGUCCUUAUUUUAAUAGUAGUAGUUUGUUUUAUUUAUAAAUUAUCCCUUUAUUUUAUAAUUUUAUUUCAAUUGUUUUUUUAUUAUUUUUUUAAAUUCGUUUCACAUUCAUUUUUCCUUUUAGGUUUUUUUUUUUUAUAUUUGGAGCUCCUUUGAUGAUUGUGUUUUGUUUUAAAGUCAGUACUGUAAAUUUAUUUUACCAUAUCAUUUUUACAGUGUAUAAUAUUUUAUAUGAAUGUUUUUAUGCAUUAUUAUAUAUAUAUAAUUAUUCCAUGUAUAUUAUUAAUCUUAUAUUAUUUUAUACACAUAAUUUCUUUUAAAUUUAUUCCUAUAUCUUAUUAUAUAUCUAUGUUGUUUAAGGGAAAAUCCUACAUAUUUUUUAUUUUUUUCCCUUAAUUACUAUUAUACGUAACCCAUAUUAAAUUAUUUUACUAUAGUCUACAUUAUUGAUUUCAUAUUAAUAUUUCUUGUAAGUAUAUAUUUGUUCUCUUUAAAAUUAUGCAUGCGUAUAAUGCGUUUCUUUUAAGAACUAUAAUUUUAAGUCAUACCAUUUAUUUAUUAUAUACACUCUCAUAUUUUAUUAUCCUUAUAUAUGUAUUAUUUAUAUGUGCCAUCAAUUCAAACCAAUUUGUUACAUGUAAAAUUAUGUUAUAUAUUAUUUGUUUUAAAAUUCCCUUUAUAAUAUAGUUUUAUAAAUAUACACCACUAAAUUUAUGUAUUUUUGUAAAUAUAAUUUUUUAUCUUUUUGUGUAUAUGAUUACAUUUUCUAAAAUUUGUUACAUGUAUAAUUUAUAUAUUUACUUAAUUUUUUUUCAUACAUUAUUAAUUUCAUGCUAUUUUUUUUACAAAUAAUUAUUUCCAAAUUUAUUUAUAUACAUGUUCUAUGAAUUUAUUAUGUACAUUAUAUUUUAUCAUGUGUUUUAUUUUUAUUUUAUAUUUUAUAUGUUAUUUAAGCUAUCACGCAUGUUGUCAAUUUUUCAAAUGGAUUUGUGCUUAAAAUAGUAUGCAUAUUAUUCAAUUCAAAGGCUUUAUUUUACAAUAUUUAUUUCAAAUGAUAAUAUAUCCCUAGUUUUUAUACAAAUUUGUCAACUUAUAUUAUGUGUCCAUUAAUUCAUCAUUAUUUUGAAAAUGUCCUAUACUAUAUUGACUUCUAAUUCCAUUUUAUUUUGUACAUAUUUUGUGGAUCGUUUUAUAUGGUGUCAUGUUAGUUAUUGUUGUAUGUUAUUUUUGUAUUGAUUGUUCACCAUCCAUGAUUAAGAAUUUGGUUACAUUUUACUUAGAAUAGUUGUACAUAAUUGUUGGAUUUAUUAAUUGUGACUUGUUGUAUCAUAUUAGUUCAUGUUCAUUAAUCCUUUCCUAGGCAAAUGUUUCGAUACAAUGCAUUAAGUAUUCCAUCUAUUUUAAAACAACUAAACGUGUUUUGAGCGAAUUUCCAAUUUUCUUUAUUAUUCAAAAAUUCUGAAAUAAGGCAAUAUCCAAUAUUUGGGAAUUCGGGAAAUCGUGCUCAAUCGUGCUAGGUAUGAUUUUUUUGGUGAACUAAAUAUUUGGAUAACCUUUUAUAAUUUUAGUGUACGAGUUUUCAAAAGUCAAAAAUCAAUCGUAUUUUUAAAGGUAUAAAGGAUCGUAUCCAAUCGUGCUAGGUAUGAUGCUGCAUAUCUUUGAAACGAGAGAAUUUUGGCCGCUAAUUUGAACUAUUCAAACAUUUUAAAAAAGAAUCAUACUUUGAAAAAUCUUUUUUUAAAAAAACCUUCUAGUAUAAGGAUGGCAUCAAGUCAAUUUGGUACCAAUUUUUGGGCGUAAUGAGGGUGCUAACCCUUCCUCAUGUGUAAUCGACUCCCGAACCCAUUCUUGAUUUUCUGUAAACCAAAAUUAUUGUAACAAAACGAUUUAGUAGGUGGCCCAAUCACACCUAAAUCAAAAGAUUGGUGGCGACUCCACAUUUUUUUUCAAAAGUCGAUCCCUAUUGUUUUCAAAUAAAAAAGGGUUUCGACAGCUUGGCGACUCCGCUGGGGAUUGAACAAAGAGAGUUAGGCCAUAAAUUUGAUUGUUUGCUAUCCUUUUGUCAAAGAAUUGAAAAUUUGUGUUGAAAAUUAUGAUUCUUUUAAUUGCAUUUGUUGGCAUGAUUGUAGUGGUACGAGUUUGGUAGAAUAAUAUGACAUUGCAUUGCAUGACCGCUGUGGUUAUACCUAUUAAGUGAGAGUAAGAAACUAUGCUUUCGUGAGGUUUUCACCUCCGUAUGGGCUAGUGGAUUGCUUCCGAGAUACAUCCGUACCUAUGAUUCCGUGAGAUUUUCAUCUCCGCAUGGUCAUAGGGAAAUAUGUUCCCAUGAACUGAACUCGAUUCAUAUGAGCCUAUAAUGGGUGAGGAUUGAGGAAUCUGCUGGUUCGGGUACCUUUACUCUAGGACCGAGCUACAUAUAGUGAACCUUAAGAGCUAUCCUUAGGUAGAGCCGCGUCAAGCCUUAGUCAUUGCCCAUAUGUGUGUUAUUAUUAUCUUUGUUGUUAUACUUCUAUUUUAUCACUUAUAUUUGAUACUAACUUGUGUUUUGUUUUGAUUGUGUUUUACAUGACAUUGCAUACUAAAUGAGGUGUUGGUUCGUAUUCGAUUACUAAGUUAGAAAGUUUAACAUGGAGAAUGAAUUUCUUAAUAAAGUUGAGGAUAAUGCGGCCGUCCGCGCAAGGUCAAAGAGGUUACAAUCAGAGAAAGGGGAUAGCCUGGCAUAAGGAUAUACGUCAGAGUUGCAAAACUUUACCCGCAUCAAUGUAAAACAGAAUGAGCUGCAGGAGUUGAAAGACAUAUGGUCUUAUUAGGAUGAAGGCACUAAACAGUUGUUCUACCAGAGUUAUGGUGAUAUACCGUACUUGCUCGAUGUUAAGGUGGAUAAGCGUUUGUUCCGAGGUAUGGCUCAAUUUUGGAAUUCUGCUUAUAAUUGUUUCACUUUUGGGGAAGUAGAUUUGGUUCAUACCUUGGAAGAAUAUACUACUUUGUUGAGAAGUCCAAAAGCUCAAGUCAGAAAAUUUAUGCUAAGGUUUCUAAUAGUCAAACUUUUGCAAAAAGGUUGGUGAAUAUUUCGGGGAUGAGUGAAUCUUGGGUCACGAAUUCAACAGAAAGGGGAUAGUAAGUGUAUUCCCUAGGAAAAUUUGAGAGAUUUGGUUUUGACGCAUCCGGAUGAAAAGAAAAGGGUUGAUAUCUUUGCCUUAAGCAUCUAUAGACUGGUGAUUUUUCCUAAGGCUUUAAGGCAUGUUGAUAAGGCAGUCACUAAUUUGUUUGAUCGUCUCGAAAAGGGAGUCACACCUGUACCUGCAAUACUAGCCGAGACGUUUAGAUCUUUGAGCAUGUGUCGAAGGAUAGGGGAAGGUCGAUUUAUUGGAUGUGCACAGUUGUUGAUGAUAUGGUUUCAUGGGCAUUUUUGGAAAGUGAAUAGGGUUUCGUAUCGGGUCUUCUCCGAAUGUUACUCCCCAUUAAAAGAAGAGAUGGCCAUGUAAAUGAGAGAUGAUAAUUCAGAAGAGAAAUGGAUGGAAAUUCUCUAAAAUCUCAAGGAGGAUGAUGUAGAAUGGAGAGCUUUUUGGAUGGUUCCUGAUGAAAUCUUGUAUUGAUGUGGUAGCUAUAAUUGGGUGCCAUUGUUAGAAAUUUGGGGAGCUACUGGACAUACUCCUUUACUUGCAUUAAGGCAAUAUAAAUCGAGGUGGUUCAUACUACGACGUACGGGCUGGCUUAGUGUGAAUUCCCAUAUAAAGGAGAUCACUAUAGGAAGAAAGUUCGGGAGUUAUCUGAUGCCUGGAGGCAAACACACUGGAUGAAGAGGCUGACUGUUGGUUCCAUGGUAACACACGAAUACAAUAGAUGGUUUAGGAAAAGGGUCAAUGAUAAUAUUCCUAGACCAAGUUUGGAAAGCGCCCGACCAAUGGAGGAUCAGUUACAAUUUACCCCGUCAGAGUUGGAAAUUAUAAAGCAAGAUUUUGAGAACAAGAGUUCUGAGUUUGGGAAGAUGAGUUCUGAGUUUGGGAAGAAGAUCGAGUAGUUGGAAGAGGAAAAGAUGCACUUGAAGUUAGAUGUGGAGAUUCAAAAGUUAGAGGCAGAAAAGCUACAGAAAAGGAAGAGUGAAGUUGAGGAAGAUUUGGAAAGCUUGAAAAUAGAUUAUAAGAAGCUGCGCUUAUCAAUGAGGACUGCUGGAUUAGGAAAGACUUUAGAUUAAUGGGGCCAAGAGGUUCGAGAGGAAAGGGCUAAGGUAAAUCAAUGGGAAAAGAGGUUUCAAGAGGCUCAAGCUCGGAAUGAAGCCUUGGAAAGAAGUUUGUCGGAGUGCAAGAAUGAAAAAGAUGAAUUAAGAGCCAGACUAGCGGAACUUGAGAGAUCUCUGUGUUUAUACCGGAAUCGUAAUUCUGUGAUAGGUUUAAAGCAAGCUUAGGUAAGAUCGAGGAGAUGAAAGGAAAAAUAGAAGAGUUAGAAACGGCAUUGCAAAGUUGUAAAAUGAGGAUUGAGUUUUUGGAGGCAAAUGAGGAACAAUGGAAGGGCCAGCUUCAUCACUCCCAAGACUAGGUUAGAAGCAGAGAUUACAUUAUGGGCGAGGCUGUAAUGCAAAUUCGAGAAGUAGCUAAUUAUUUGCAAUCUUUAGCGGUACAAGCAGACGUAUUAAGCGUGAAGUACGAUUUGGAGUCAGAUAAGGGACAAGAACUAGCUUCAUUGCUUAGGAAAAUUAAAGCCCUGAGUGUUAGGGCAAAGUCGUAUUUGUAACUCAGUUUUAUGUAAAGAAUUUUAUUUUCUAGUAAAGUUUUAUAAAAGGAAUUGAAUCAGAAUUGAUGCCUCCUUUGCAUUCAUGCAUUUGCAUUACAUUACAUCAUAUGCAUUAAAGCUCAUAAUAAGAUUCUAAUUAAUUAAAAAUUAUUUCAGUAAUCUGGAAACCAACAAAAACACACAAAAUAAGUAUCCCUACGGUACGAGGAAAAAGACUAAGUUAAUGGACAAAAGACUGGAAAAGUUAGAAUAAAUGUAAAAGGAUAUGGAAGAGCAAAUGCAGUCACAGAUGCAAGAGCAGCUGGUUAACAUUCAGCAAGAGAUGAAAAAACAGAUGAUGGAGUCCCAAAGAGAGAUGAUGAGUCAGUUGUCCCAAUUGCUGAUGAGAAUAGUGGAUACGGGAAAAGGUCCUAUGGAUAAUAUGGGAGAAAAUAAUGAAGACCCUCAAUAUCCUCCCAGCUUCACUCCUAUACAUGUGCAGACACAACCUGAGAUUAAUUUGCUGAACCCAUCUGUUACGAUCAGGCCUUAGCAGUUUCAGGCCGGGGUUUCAGUACCAAUGAAUUUUCAAGCUGGUUCAUUUUAUAAUCCUGAUAACAACUCUAAUAAUCCAAUUGUUCCUGAUUUGGAUGAGGUUGCGAAAGCGGAAAGGGCAAAGGCGGAGUCACAAAAGCAAUUAGAAGAACGGUGUAAAUGGCUGGAGGAAAAGGUCAGAGCAAUGAAGGGUAUUGAUAGACACCCGAGAAUUGAUGCAAAAGAUCUAAGUUCGGUCCCGGACUUAGUACUGCCAUACAAGUUCAGGAUGCCAGAAUUUGAGAAAUACAAUGGAACGAGCUGUCCUGAAGCUCAUGUCACUAUGUUUUGCAGAAGAAUGACGGGAUAUGUUCAUAAUAAUCAAUUGUUGAUUCAUUGCUUCCAAGAUAGUUUGGUAGGAGUGGCUGCUAAAUGGUACAAUCAAUUGAGUCAAAAUAGGAUUAGUUCAUGGAGAGAUUUAGCACAGGCGUUUAUGAAGCAAUAUAUCCAUGUGACAGAUAUAACUCCUGAUAGGAUUACUCUACAGAAUAUGGAGAAGAAACCAAAUGAAAGUUUCAAGCAGUAUGCACAGAGGUGGAGGGAAAUGGCCAUUCAGGUUCAACCACCGCUCUUAGAGAAAGAAACUACGAUGCUCUUCAUUAACACCUUAAAGGCUCCGUUAUAACUCAUAUGCUAGGAAGUGCCACGAAGAGCUUUACGGACGUGGUCAUGACAGGAGAAAUGAUUGAGAAUGCCACAAGAAAUGGAAGGAUAGACGUAGGAGAAAGUGCUAAAAGGUCUGUGUUACAGAAAAAAGAGAAUGAGCUGAACAAUACGAACGUGGGAUAUUCAAAGUCUGUUACUGUAAGUAAAUCAAAAGCGGUAACUACCGGUCAGGGAUCAUCAAGGCAAGAGUCAGGAACCAGGCAGAAUAAUGAGAAGAUUCAAUUUACACCAAUUCCCAUGACAUACAAAGAGUUAUAUCAAAGUUUGUUCGAUGCACAUGUGGUGGCACCUUUUUACUUAAAGCCAUUGCAGCCUCCGUUCCCUAAAUGGUACGAUGCUAAUGUUCCAUGUGAGUAUCACGCAGGAAUUGUGGGUCAUUCGAUAGAAAAUUACACCACUUUUAAGAAACUGGUUGAGAGAUUUAUCUAGAUGGGAAUUUUGAAAUUCGAUAAUGCGCCCAGUACUGAAAAUCCGCUACCUAAUCAUACUGAUAGUUGGGUAAAUACAAUAGAUGGAGGUAUUGGAAAAAGGAUCAAGAAGGAUGUUUCAGAAGUAAAGACUCCUUUGAGACGAGUUUGGAAAGAGAUGACAAGAAGGGGAUUAGUUACUUCAAACACGGAAGGAAAUAAUAAUGGGAUAGAGAAUUAUUGUGAGCUCCAUCAUAAAGAGGGACACAGAAUUCAGGAUUGUGAAGGAUUCAGAGUCGUUAUUCAGAGCCUGAAGGACAGUAAAGAAAUAGAAUUUUAUGAAGAGGUUUCGGAAGAAGAGUAUACAUGCGCAUCAGAAUCCGUAUCAAGUGUCCCGAAAGUAAACUAUCAUGUGGUAAUUAUUUUGUGUCCUAAGAGUGAUGUAGGAGUUCAAGUGACGCCAAAGAUCAUAAUUUAGAAGUCGGCAGUUUUUUCUUACAAUGAUAGUAAAAGGGUCCCCUAGAACUACGAUUGUAAAGUGAUGAUCCCAGGAAAGGAGAGUACAAUCAACUCGUUAAAGGCGGACCAAGAUACAGUGUCUCACACACGCAGUGGAAGACGAUAUGAUACCCGAAUAGAGCCUAUGAAAGGAAGAGAUGUACUGGUCGAGAAAGAGAGGGGAAAAAUAGUUGAAUUUGAUAUGCCUGUUAAUGAACCAGUGAAAGAAGAAGAAGUUAAGUAAUUCCUGAAAUUUCUGAAACAUAGUGAUUACAGUGUGGUGGAACAAUUGCGUAAACAGCCAGCCCGUAUAUCUAUAUUGGCUUUACUCUUGAGUUCAGAGGUGCAUCGGAGUGCAUUGAUGAAGGUGCUAAACGAGACAUAUGUAACCAAUGAUAUUUCCAUCAAUAAGUUGGAUCGAUUGGUUAACAACAUAAGUGCAGACAAUUUCAUCUUUUUCAAUGAUGAUAAGAUACCCCUAAGAGGAAUGGGAUCUACCAAAGCUUUGUACAUAACUACUAGAUGUAAGGGAUACACGUUGCCAGGGGUUCUAGUAGAUAAUGGUUCGACAUUGAAUGUGUUACCUUUGUCCACACUAAACAAGUUACCUGUGGAUAGCUCUCACAUGAAAGGAUGUUAGAACAUAGUAUGAGCAUUUGAUGGUACAGAGAGGAGAGUCAUGGGGAGAAUAGAAGUGCCCUUGUUAAUUGGCCCAAGCACGUAUGAGGUAGAUUUCUUAGUAAUGAAUAUCAAGCCUUCUUACAAUUGUUUGUUGGGAAGACCUUGGAUACAUUCUGCAGGGGCAGUACCUUCAUCAUUACAUCAAAAGCUGAAGCUGGUAUCAGAAGGGCGGUUGGUAACGAUAAAUGCUGAAGAAGAUAUUAUCGCAGCCGUAAGCAGUGAUGCACCGUAUGUAGAGACAGAUGAGAAAGCCAUUGAGUGUUCUUUUCAGUCUUUGGCAAUUGUGAAUGCAACAUUUAUUACUAAGAGAAGUAGAAUUCCAGAACCAAAAAUGUCCAGAACUACGAUGAUGGGUUUACAAUUGAUGGUAGGACAUGGAGCUUUACCAGGAAAUUGACUUGGAAGAUGUCUCCAAGGAAGGAUUACAGUUCCAAUGCUGAAAGACAAAUAGGAUCGCUUUGGUUUGGGAUUCAAGCCAGAUACAAGACAAAGGAAAAAAGAAUUAGAAAGAAGAAGAGCACAAGUGAGUGGUGGGGAAAUCAAGUGGGAGCCCAUGAUAAUUCCUCAUAUCUUCAAGUCUUUUGUAUGAGGGGGCAUUAUUUAUCCUGAACAAGAGGUACCAGAGAAAGAAAGCAUAGGAGAAGCAUUGGGAAAUAUGUACAUCAAUGCCAUUUUUGAAGAGACAACUGAAGAGGGGAUUUUAUCAAAUAUUCGUCCAUAUGAGCCUGGGAGUGUUCUAAACAAUUGGACUGUAGAAGAUCUUCCUGUAGUUUUUAGAGCUUACUCAGAGUAAUGUUCAAAAUAAACUUAUUGUUUUAAGCCUAGAAACAAUAAAGAUUUCUUUGUGAAAUAGGCUCAUGUUCAAACAUCAUUAUUUCAAUGAAGUACUUUUUUUUUUGCUAUCAUUUUGAGUAAAUAUUAUUCUUUUCACAAGCAUUUGUGUUAUUCUUUCUAUCUAAAUAAUCAUCUUGAUUCUUUCUUCAAUCAUUCUUUUAUUCAUAAACAUAUCAUACAAAACAAUAAUUACCAAAUUUAUUCAUUCUUUGUAUAUUUUUGUACCUACAAUAGGUCCCUAGAUAUCAAUGUUAUGAGCGACGCUAUUACUGACUCAGAAUCACUAUUUGAGCAAGACAUGUGUUUAGAGGGAUCUCAGGACUUUGAAGAUGACAGAGAUUAUGAUUUAUCUCCGGACUUGUUAAGGAUGGUAGAAUAAGAGGAAAAGUAAAUUUUGCCUCAUAAAGAAACCGUAGACAUGGUGACUUUGGAAGAGGGGAAAGUUGUAAAAAUUAGAACAUGCAUAGUUGAAGAGACAAAGCGAGACCUUGUUGGGUUACUUUAGGAAUUCAAAGAUGUUUUUGCAUGGUCAUACCAGGAUAUGCCUGGUUUAAGUCAUGAUAUUGCGGUAUAUUGCCUUCCCAUAAGAGAAGAUUGCAAGCUAGUACAGCAAAAACUUCGAAGAAUGGGGCUAGAUAUUAUUUUAAAGAUCAAGGAGGAAGUCAAAAAAUAGUUUGAUGCGAGGUUCCUUCAGGUCAUCAAAUACUCAGAAUGGGUAGCCAAUGUUGUGCAUGUUCCCAAAAAAGAUGGCAAGGUGCGAAUGUGUGUGGAUUAUAGAGAUCUAAAUAAGGCUAGUCCAAAAGACAAUUUUCCUUUGCCUCAUAUUGAUGCGCUAGUGGACAAUACGACUGGAUUCUCAUUGUUCUCUUUCAUGGAUGACUUCUCAGGGUAUAAUCAGAUCAAGAUGAUCCUAAAUACAUGGGAAAGACUACUUUUAUAACUUUGUGGGGCACAUUCUGUUACAAGGUGAUGCCAUUUGGAUUGAAGAAUGCUGGAGCAACGUAUCAGAGAGCUAUGGUGACUUUAUUCCAUGAUAUGAUGCACAAGGAAAUGGAAGUGUAUGUUGAUGAUAUGAUAGCCAAAACUCGAAUGGAAAAGGAGCACAUCCAGGUGUUGAGAAAGCUAUUCAUGAGACUAAGGAAGUUUCAGUUAAAGCUUAAUCCAACAAAAUGUACCUUUGGCGCUAGAUCUAGAAAGCUAUUGGGCUUUGUGGUCAGUGAGAAGGGAAUUGAGAUUGAUUCAGACAAAGUCCGAGCUAUACAAGGGUUGUCUCCACUGCGCACUCAAAAAGAAGUUUGGGGUUUCCCCGGAAGACUAAAUUACAUUGCGCGGUUUAUUUCUCAAUUAACAGAGAAAUGUGACCCUAUAUUUCGUCUUCUUAAAAAGCAUAACCCAGGAGAAUGGGAUGAGGAAUGUCAAAAGGCUUUUGAUAAAGUUAAAAAAUAUUUGUCAAGUCCUCUAGUGUUAUCACCCCCAAGUUUAGACAAGCCAUUGAUAUUGAAUUUAACCGUGUUUGGUAAUUCAAAGGGAUGUGUGCUUGGUCAACAUGACGAAUCAGGAAGAAAGGAAAGGGCGAUAUAUUACCUCAAUAAGAAAUUCACUGAGUGUGAGUUGAGAUAUUCGCCAAUUGAAAAAUUGUGUUGCGCUUUGGUUUAGACAUCACGAAGAUUGAGGCAAUAUAUGUUGUAUCAUACAACUUGGCUACUCUCAAAGUUGGAUCCUUUAAAGUAUAUGAUGGAGUCAAAUGCCUUGAAUGGAAGGAUGGCUAGGUGGCAAAUUUUGCUUUCUGAAUUUGACAUAAUUUACGUGAGUCAGAAGGCUGUGAAAGGAAGCGCAAUAGCAGAUUUUCUGGCCAGCCGAGCUUUAGAAGAUUAUGAACCCUUGAAUUUUGACUUCCCCAAUGAGGAGAUAGUAUAUGUGGCAGCUGCUGAAGAGGAUACUAUAAAAGGUCAGUUUUGGAAAUUGAAUUUUGAUGGAGCCUCAAAUGCUGUGGGUAAUAGAGUUGGGGCAGUUCUAGUAUCCCCAGGUGGAGAUCAUUAUCUAUUCACAUGUAAAUUGGAUUUUGAUUGUACGAAUAAUAUGGCAGAAUAUGAAGCAUGUAUCAUGGGGCUCAGGGCAGCUAUAGAGCACAAGAUCAAGGCUUUGGAAGUAUAUGGAGAUUCUGCGCUAGUAGUUUAACAGCUUCGAGGUGAAUAGGAGACAAGAGACGCUAAACUAAUCAAUUAUAGAAGGCUGGUGUUGGGGUUAGUUGAAGAGUUUGAUGAUAUUACUUUCAAUUAUCUUCCUCGUGAUGAAAACUAGAUGGCAGAUGCUUUGGCUACUUUGGCUUCCAUGAUCAAAGUAAGCAGACAAGAAGAUGUGAAGCCCAUUCAGAUGACUAUUUGUGAGGCCCCGUCCUAUUGUUAUAAUAUAGAGAAAGAAGAAAGAGAUGAUCAUCCUUGGUAUCAGGAUAUAUUGCGAUAUGUGAGAAAUCGUGAAUAUCCAGAUCAAGCCACGGAGAAUGACAAAAGAACGUUGAGAAGGCUCGCUUGUGAUUAUGUUUUAGAUGGAGAGAUCCUGUACAAAAGAAGGAAGGAUCAGGUACUGUUGAGAUGUGUGGAUGCCGUGGAGUCCAAGAAAAUCAUGGAAGAGGUGCACGAAGGUGUUUGUGGAACACACGCUAAUGGGUUUAUAAUGGCCAGACAAAUUAUGAGGUUUGGAUAUUAUUGGUCAACCAUGGAAGUAGACUGCAUCAAUUAUGCCAAGAAAUAUCACAAAUAUCAAAUUUAUGGUGAUAAGAUUCACGUGCCUCCCUCGCCUUUGCAUGUUAUGACUUCCCCAUGGCCAAUUUCCAUGUGGGGCAUGGAUGUCAUAGGGCCAAUUUCACCGAAGGAUUCAAAUGGGCAUCGUUUCAUUUUUGUGGUUAUUGAUUUUUUACCAAGUGGGUGGAAGCUGCUUCGUACGCUAAUGUAACUAAAUCGGCAGUCAGCAGAUUCUUAAAGAAGGAAAUUAUAUGUCGGUAUAGAAUGCCUGAGAGGAUCAUAUCUGAUAAUGCGCUAAAUUUGAACAAUAAUACAAUAGCAGAGGUCUGCAGUCAAUUUAAGAUCAGACAUCAUAACUCAUCACCAUCUCACCCGAAGAUGAAUGAGGCAGUGGAAGCAACCAAUAAAAAUAUUAAGAAGAUUGUGGGGAAAAUGACCGAAACUUACAAAGAUUGGCAUGAAAAGUUUCCAUUUGCGCUCUAUGCUUAUCGAACAUCUGUCAAAACUUCUACUGGAGCAACACCUUUUUCAUUGGUAUAUGGAAUGGAAGCAGUUCUACCCAUUGAAGUGGAGAUACCUUCUCUUCGAGUUUUGUCAGAAUUGAAGUUAGAUGAAGCAGAAUGGAUACAAUCUCGAUAUGAUCAGUUGAAUCUGAUUGAGGAAAAGAGGCUAAAGGCUAUUCAGCAUGGACAGAUGUAUCAAAAAAGAAUGAUGCGGGCUUAUGAAAAAAAGGUCCGCCCAAGAGAGUUUCAUGAGGGAGAUUUGGUUUUGAAGAAGAUUCUUUCAAUACAAAAAGAUUUCAGAGGAAAAUGGAUGCCAAAUUGGGAGGGGCCUUAUGUGGUAAAGAAGGCUUUUUCCGGUAGUGCAUUAAUCCUAGCCGAAAUGGAUGGAAGAAAUUUGUCUAAUCCGGUAAACUCAGAUUCGGUCAAAAAGUACUACACUUAACAAGGGAAGGAAGCCAAGGUGAAAACCCGCAAAGGGCGCUUCGAGGCUUUAAAAAAACAAAAAAAGGGGGCCAAAGUGAAAACCCGCAAAGGGCGCUUUAGGACCAAAUAAAAAAGGGCCAAGGUGAAAACCCACAAAGGGCACUUUGAGACUCAAUAAUAAUAAAAGAAAAAAAGAAAAAGAGAAAAAGGAGAGGCCAAGGUGAAAACCUGCAAAUGGCGCCUUGUGACCAAAGGGGAUUUGAGUUGAAAACCCGAAAAGGGUGGCUCAAAUAAGGAUCCAAAGUGAGAAGGCAGUGGUCUCGCUAUAUUUGAAUUAACCAUGAAAGGGGUAUGUGGCAUCUUGGGGCGUUAACAAAGUGCUUCUGAUAUCUUAAACACAUAUCGAGUUUGAAUUAGUCUUCAAGAGGUUCGUACAGUGAAGCUCAGGUUGCGAUAACAAGGGUACCUAGUCUUCGUUUUCAGUAAAUUGGUUAUCUUUUAAUUAUCCCUUAUUUUUCAAGAUACACAUUCCCAAAUUAAUGGCUAUUGUUGUUCUUUUGAUAAUUUACUUUGAAUUUAAGAUUAAUUCCAUUCGUGUUCAUUAUUACGAUUAGAUUGCAAGUAUGUUGCAUUGACAUAAUGAUGAAUGAACUAGUAAUGUUUUCACAAUAAAAGUUUUGCAUAUUACUCUAGGAGUUUCUAAAUAAUGCAAGAAUCUGAAGUGGAAUUAUUGUUUAGAAUGAGCUCAAGUUCAAGGAUAUAUUUGGAUAAAUCACCUUGGUGAGAUCUCUGUCCAAAUGAUGAUAGAGCAAAUAGGCAAGAUAUAGUAUUGAUGAUACAAUGUUAUUCUCGAGAAAAGGGAAAUGACGUUUUGUAUUCAUACAAAGAUCAAAAAUGCACAUUUGGCUAUAACACCUGAGGAGUGAGGUAGCAAAUUGACCAGAGGAAAAUUCAACUAUGAGUUGCAAUAUUUUUGUCCCAAAAAAAUAGUGGAAGGGACGUUGGAAUUAUAGUGGGGCAAGCUGGCCGAGCAGGAUAUGAUUGUUUCUUUGGAAUACUCUAUCAAGAUGACGGUUGAGCAAAUGCAUCAGUAACAGUGUUAAUAAGCAAACGAGUGGUGAUACCCUAAAUUGUUAAAUGGAAUUAUUCUCAUUUCUGCAUAUAUUAUUCAUACCACAUUUAGUUAGGAGCAUUAGAUUCAUCUCAAGCUAGCAUCCUAAUUAUUUGGCAUAAACAUAUUCAUACUAAAAUAGAGUAAACAUGAUUGAAGAUCUUAUCUCCCUGAAGUUGCAGUGGAGCAGAUCGAAAAUGGUGAAUCUUAUCUCCAUGUAUUAGCAAUGGAGUAGAUUUACUACCAGCCUCAUCUCUCUGAGGUAGCAAGAGAGCAGGUUGAAGAAUGAAUCUUAUCUUCCUGAGGUAGCAGGGAAGCAGACUGAAGAUUGAAGAUCUUAUCUCCCUAAGCAGUAGCAAAGCAGAUCAAAAGAGGCGAAUCUUAUCUCCAUGUAUUGGUAAUGGAGCAGAUUUAAGCCCCAAGCCUUAUCUCUUUGAGGUAGCAAGAGAGCAGGUUGAAGAAUGAGUCUUAUCUUUUUGAGGUAGCAAGGAAGCAGACUAAGAAUUGAAGAUUUUAUCUCCCAGAGACUGCAAUGGAGUAGAUCUUCGCAGACGGUGAAUCUUAUCUCCAUGUAUCGGCAAUAGAGCAGAUUUUACCACCAGCCUCUUCUCUCUGAGGUAGCAAGAGAGCAGGUUGAAGAAUGAGUCUUAUCUUCUUGAGAUAACAAGGAAGCAAACUGUGGAUUGAGGAUCUUAUCUCCCUGAAGUUGCAGUGGAACAGAUCGAAAAUAGUGAAUCUUAUCUCUAUGUAUCGGCAAUGGAGCAGAUUUAACCCACCAACCUCAUCUUCCUAAAGGUGUUUGGAAAAGAGGAAUGCCAAAAAGCCAAAAUUCAGCAAGACUGGGCAAAAUCGAUCCUUUUGAAGUCUUUGCUCUAUUCCCGUUACACGUCAAUGAGAAAAGAGGGGCAGCUGUAGUCAACCAAUUUUUCCCGGGCCGUUUUAAAGUAUUAAAAUAAGCCAAACAAAUAAGUCCGGGUAAAUUGAACACACACAAAUAAAGAAUCCAAAUUCAGAAGUCCAAUGUCUGGUUACAAAUAUUUGGGCCAAAAAUAACUUAAACCCAAGAUCCUUUAAUAUAGACUUAACCCAAUCCUUAGUUCGAACAGCCCAAACCCGAGGCCCAAUACACCCAAAAGGAAACACAGCAGUCGAGAGCACCAAAAGCUUCUGGAAUGCCAGAGAUUUGGGCUCCCAUGAGAGGCUCCUCGCAUGGCCUCCUUCGCGCGUCUCCUUGCUCCUCCGUACGGCCAUCCCUGCGUUAGAAUACACGAUAAGAGGCCAGCUAACAAAAUACAACAAAUGACAGCAAUAAAAAUGUAUUUUUAUUUAUUAUUUAUUUUACUCUAUAAAUUUGGCUAUAAAAGCCAAUGAUUGUACCUGCAAAAGGGAUUACGAAUAUAUUACGCACACCAGAUAUCAAAAAUAGAGCAUUUCACAAGCAUUUUUUUAGAGGUGAUUUUCUGUUUAAUAGUUGCUUUUAAAUUUCGGUUGAAUGACUUCAUUUUUAUCUUUCAUUAUUAUAUUAAAAAAUAAUAGAAUGAAAGAGAGAAGAAAUCUCACCUUAUGGAUCGGCCAUUGAUCUCUCUUUGCUUCGUCAGACUUGAAGUGGAAAAAGAGGUCUUAAGGCCGAAAAUUAUCAUCAAAAGGCCACAUUUGUCGGUUGUUGUUUUUAAGGGAAGAUCGGCGUUGGUGUUAAAAGGGGAAUCAAACGGCGCCAUCCAUCAAUUGUAAUGUUGAAAGCGGCGGCCGAAUGUGAACAAACCCUUAGGUUUUUUUCCCCCCUUUUCAAUCUACUUUGCCGAAA